GGAUUGUAGUCUGCAACCCGACUACAUGAAGCUGGAAUCGCUAGUAAUCGCGAAUCAGAAUGUCGCGGUGAAUACGUUCCCGGGUCUUGUACACACCGCCCGUCACACCAUGGGAGUCGGAUAUGCCCGAAGCCGGUGACCUAACCGCAAGGAAGGAGCCGUCGAAGGUGGAGCCGAUGACUGGGGUGAAGUCGUAACAAGGUAAC
rnacentral:rRNA from 1 species